rnacentral:tRNA from 1 species
AGACACUUAGGUUGAU